AGCAGCCGCGGUAAUUCCAGCUCCAAUAGCGUAUAUUAAAGUUGUUGCAGUUAAAAAAGACUCGUAGUUGAAUUUCGGGACCGAUAUAUCGGUCGUGCCUCGGUACGUACUGGUAUUUUCGGUUUCUACCUUCUGACGAACCUUGAUGUCAUUAAUUUGGUGUCUUGGGGAAUCAGGACUGUUACUUUGAAAAAAAUUAGAGUGUUUAAAGACAGGCUCACGCUUGAAUACAUUAGCAUGGAAUAAUGAAAUAGGACGUUUGAUUCUAUUUUGUUGGUUUCUAGGAUCGACGUAAUGAUUAAUAGGGAUAGUUGGGGGGCAUUAGUAUUCAAUUGUCAGAGGUGAAAUUCUUGGAUUUAUUGAAGACUAACUACUGCGAAAAGCAUUUGCCAAGGAUGUUUUCAUUAAUCUAAGAACGAAAGUUAGGGGAUCGAAGACGAUCAGAUACCGUCGUAGUCUUAACCAUAAACUAUGCCGACUAGGGAUCGGAUGAUGUAAUUUUUAAUGACUCAUUCGGCGC
rnacentral:rRNA from 1 species